GUGCAAAAGGUAGUUAACGUAAAAUUCAAUUAAUAGUUUAAGUAUUGGUAAUACCAAAGGUCAAUUUGUAAUUUAUUUUAUUUUAUAAAAAUAACAAUGACGUUGUAGUUACUCAAUGCUUUGGCGCAAUAAUCGCAAUUAUGAUUUCGUUGCGAAUAUAACGCGUUUUCCAGCAAUACACGUAAUUAACACGCCUCGGCGCCACCACACGCACACGUGGGAAACUAACCAAACAAAAUGAGAAACAACAAAGCCGCCGAAAAUAAAGUAAACGAUAAAGAUGCCGUGAACACAAAAGAAAUCAUUUAUUCUUUCAUGGACUCUUCUUGAAGUCAAAGUCGUAGCUGCUGAAAGUCACAGCCUGAUUAUACCUAUAGUAUAUCGAACAAAGCUAAAUAAAAAUAUUACUAUUGUUAUUUGAUGUGCAAAGUUUCUGCGCGUAAACUAUAGAUGACAUUUCUUAUUAUUAGAUCGAACAUUAGAUCGGAAUAGGGCUGUACAUAAAUAAGUGACUUUUUAUCCUUCGAGUAAAUGACUUGCGCGAAUGCCACUAUUAUGGCGUAACUUUCAAAAAGAUAACAUUAUAAUGGCGAUUAGUAGCUUAAAGGUUAAAAGAUCGUAUGCGAUAUGUACGGAGUAGAACGAACCAGUUGCGAGAAUGUUUUCACGUGAGCGUAGACGAAGCUGUGUUUAUUUGGUUAGAAUAACAAUUAACCAUCGUCACGGAAAAGUCACAAAAAAUGCCCAAAGUGGCUAAGCCACAUAAGCAGAAAAUAUAAAAUCCCCAGAAAUUGGCUGAUUACCAAUAUGGAAAAUUAAAUAUCUAUGACGACAAAAUGUAUAAGAAUCAUAUGGUUAUAACGAAUCUGAUGAAAUAUGCCCGAUGGGAAGAAAGUCAGAAACAAUGCAAAGAGCAAGAUGUUGAUCAUAGAAACAUUACAUUAUGGCUAUAUUAUAUUGAAAUAGAAAUGCGCAAUAAUUAUGCCAAAAAUUUAUUAGAUCGUGCAGUCACAAUUUUACAUACAACAAAUCAAUUUUGAUACAAAUACACAUAUGUGGAAGAAAUGUUAGAAAAUAUUACUGGUAAGAUUUGAUAUAAAAUUAGGGAUUAUUUUUUAUUAUCUAACUUAAUUUUAUAGAGAUUUAUUAUAGAAACACGUCAAGUUUUUGAGCGAUGGAUGGAAUGGUGACCUGACUAACAGGCAAGGCAAAUAUAUAUUAAAUUUGAAUUACGAUAUAAAGAAAUACAAAGAGCCAGGUAGAGAUAUAUAAUUGCGUAGGAAGAUAUAUAGUUCUGUAAUAAAUGUAGGACGCAAAGUUUAUGAAGAUGUUAUAAACUUUUUCAGAGAUGAGAACUUAGAUGAAAAGCUCUAUUUAUAGCAUUUGCAAGAUUUGAGGAAGGACAGAGAGAACAUGAUACAGCAAGAAUAAUUUCUAAGUAUGCUUUAGACAAUUUUUCAAAAGAAAGAACAAAAGAAAUAGAUAAUGCAUAUACCAUACACGAAAAGAAAU